UGAAGAUGGCGACCGGCGCACGGGUGAGUAACACGUAUCCAACCUGCCGAUAACUCCGGAAUAGCCUUUCGAAAGAAAGAUUAAUACCGGAUGGCAUACGAAUAUCGCAUGAUAUUUUUAUUAAAGAAUUUCGGUUAUCGAUGGGGAUGCGUUCCAUUAGUUUGUUGGCGGGGUAACGGCCCACCAAGACUACGAUGGAUAGGGGUUCUGAGAGGAAGGUCCCCCACAUUGGAACUGAGACACGGUCCAAACUCNUACGGGAGGCAGCAGUGAGGAAUAUUGGUCAAUGGGCGCGAGCCUGAACCAGCCAAGUAGCGUGAAGGAUGAAGGCUCUAUGGGUCGUAAACUUCUUUUAUAUGGGAAUAAAGUUUUCCACGUGUGGAAUUUUGUAUGUACCAUAUGAAUAAGGAUCGGCUAACUCCGUGCCAGCAGCCGCGGUAAUACGGAGGAUCCGAGCGUUAUCCGGAUUUAUUGGGUUUAAAGGGAGCGUAGGUGGAUUGUUAAGUCAGUUGUGAAAGUUUGCGGCUCAACCGUAAAAUUGCAGUUGAAACUGGCAGUCUUGAGUACAGUAGAGGUGGGCGGAAUUCGUGGUGUAGCGGUGAAAUGCUUAGAUAUCACGAAGAACUCCGAUUGCGAAGGCAGCUCACUAGACUGUCACUGAC
rnacentral:rRNA from 1 species